rnacentral:rRNA from 1 species
UACGGGGGGGGCAAGCGUUGUUCGGAAUUACUGGGCGUAAAGGGCUCGUAGGUGGCCAACUAAGUCAGACGUGAAAUCCCUCGGCUUAACCGGGGAACUGCGUCUGAUACUGGAUGGCUUGAGUUCGGGAGAGGGAUGCGGAAUUCCAGGUGUAGCGGUGAAAUGCGUAGAUAUCUGGAGGAACACCGGUGGCGAAGGCGGCGCUCUGGACCGAGACUGACGCUGAGGCGCGAAAGCGUGGGGAGCAAACAGG